rnacentral:lncRNA from 1 species
GAUGGAGACUAUACUUCUGAGAAUAAGCCUAAAGCCUGUGAGUCUCGAAAGCCAAUUUACACACCACGCAGAAAACUGACGGGUCUCAGGAAAACUAAAAUGAGGAAAGCCAGCAGAGGCCCAGGCAGACGUCAAAUUAAUCUCUAGAAACAGAGGACAAUCUGCUUUGGCUUGGCAAAAAUUAAAAUAGAACUUAGAUGAGCUUCAGUGUGAAUGGAGGUGGGGAGAGUUCCUUCCUUUCUGUUGAUGGGAUGUAAAACCCUCACUAGCCAACAAGCUCCCCCAGGAAAGACAAUGCCACAUGCCUUCAUUGCCCUGGUGAGUUGUGGGAUGUCUGUCCCUCAGCAGGGUCUCAGUUACUGUGUGUUGAAUGAAUGAUGGAUCCAAUAGAAGAAAAAAGAAGUGAAAAGAAUGACUGGAUAAAGCCCCAUUCCAGCCCAUGUUUCCCUGAUAACAGUAAUAAAAUGAAGGACAGACUGGACUGAAUUAUUACGAGCUUUGGCCAGCUAGCCCCAGAAAUCUUCC